rnacentral:rRNA from 1 species
UACGGUAGGGUGCAAGCGUUAUCCGGAUUCACUGGGUUUAAAGGGUGCGUAGGCGGGUAAGUAAGUCCGUGGUGAAAUCUCUGAGCUUAACUCAGAAACUGCCGUGGAUACUAUUUGCCUUGAAUAUUGUGGAGGUGAGCGGAAUAUGUCAUGUAGCGGUGAAAUGCUUAGAUAUGACAUAGAACACCAAUUGCGAAGGCAGCUCACUACACAAUCAUUGACGCUGAGGCACGAAAGCGUGGGGAUCAAACAGG